rnacentral:rRNA from 1 species
GUCUUUGGCCAUACCACCCUGAAAGCGUCUGAUCUUGUCUGAUCUUGAAAGCUAAGCAGGGUCAGGCCUGGUUAGUACUUGGAUGGGAGAAAGAGCAGGUCAGGUACAGCUGUGGGUC